rnacentral:rRNA from 1 species
AUGCAUGUCUAAGUACAGACCGAUUUACACGGUGAAACCGCGAAUGGCUCAUUAAAUCAGUUAUGGUUCAUUGGAUCUUACCCAAGUUACUUGGAUAACUGUGGUAAUUCUAGAGCUAAUACAUGCAACCAAGCUCCGACCGCAAGGGAAGGGCGCUUUUAUUAGAUCAAAACCAAUCGGGCCUCGGUCCGCUCCUUUGUGAUGACUCUGAAUAACUUUGUGCUGAGCGCAUGGUCUACGCACCAGCGCCGCAUCUUUCAAGUGUCUGCCUUAUCAGCUUUCGAUUGUAGGUUAUGCGCCUACAAUGGCUAUAACGGGUAACGGGGAAUCAGGGUUCGAUUCCGGAGAGGGAGCCUGAGAAACGGCUACCACAUCUAAGGAAGGCAGCAGGCACGCAAAUUACCCACUCCCAGCCCGGGGAGGUAGUGACGAAAAAUAACGAUGCGGGACUCUUCCGAGGCUUCGCAAUCGGAAUGAGUUCACUUUAAAUCCUUGUACGAGGAUCUAUUGGAGGGCAAGUCUGGUGCCAGCAGCCGCGGUAAUUCCAGCUCCAAUAGCGUAUAUUAAAGUUGUUGCGGUUAAAAAGCUCGUAGUUGGAUCUCAGUUCCGGACCGCUGGUGCGCCCUCGGCGAUUUACUGGCGGUCCGAACAGCUCGUCGGCUUGCUCGGGGUGCUCUUCAUCGAGUGUCUCGCGUGGCCGGCACGUUUACUUUGAAAAAAUUA